rnacentral:rRNA from 1 species
UACAGAGGGGCAAGCGUUGUUCGGAAUUACUGGGCGUAAAGGGCGCGUAGGCGGCCUUCUAAGUUCGAACGUGAAAUCCUCGGGCUCAACCCGGGAACUGCGUCCGAUACUGGAAGGCUUGAAUCCGGGAAGAGGGAUGCGGAAUUCCAGGUGGUAGCGGGUGAAAUGACGUAGAUAUCUGGAGGAACACCGGUGGCGAAGGCGGCAUCCUGGACCGGCAUUGACGCUGAGGCGCGGAA